rnacentral:rRNA from 1 species
GGUAGUCCACGCCGUAAACGAUGUCGACUUGGAGGUUGUGCCCUUGAGGCGUGGCUUCCGGAGCUAACGCGUUAAGUCGACCGCCUGGGGAGUACGGCCGCAAGGUUAAAACUCAAAUGAAUUGACGGGGGCCCGCACAAGCGGUGGAGCAUGUGGUUUAAUUCGAUGCAACGCGAAGAACCUUACCUACUCUUGACAUCCAGAGAACUUAGCAGAGAUGCUUUGGUGCCUUCGGGAACUCUGAGACAGGUGCUGCAUGGCUGUCGUCAGCUCGUGUUGUGAAAUGUUGGGUUAAGUCCCGCAACGAGCGCAACCCUUAUCCUUUGUUGCCAGCGGUUAGGCCGGGAACUCAAAGGAGACUGCCAGUGAUAAACUGGAGGAAGGUGGGGAUGACGUCAAGUCAUCAUGGCCCUUACGAGUAGGGCUACACACGUGCUACAAUGGCGCAUACAAAGAGAAGCGACCUCGCGAGAGCCAGCGGACCUCAUAAAGUGCGUCGUAGUCCGGAUUGGAGUCUGCAACUCGACUCCAUGAAGCCGGAAUCGCUAGUAAUCGUAGAUCAGAAUGCUACGGUGAAUACGUUCCCGGGCCUUGUACACACCGCCCGUCACACCAUGGGAGUGGGUUGCAAAAGAAGUAGGUAGCUUAACCUUCGGGAGGGCGCUUACCACUUUGUGAUUCAUGACUGGGGUGAAGUCGUAACAAGGUAACCGUAGGGGAACCUGC